ACACAAGAAAGAACCAAACGAGAAGAAGCAGGAGCAGCUGUGGGGGAAAGACACAAGUGACAGGUCCCGGUUCUCAAGCGGGUCGUCGUGCAAACAGAGUUCCGGUGAGGAGGAUUCCUUAAGCGAAGCAAGAUUAGCUACCAAAGCACCUACAGCUAAGUGUGAGCCCAAACUUCCAGCCAUUGAUCAAACAUCUGUCAAGCAGAAACACAAAGGCACCAUGACACUAAAGAAGCCAGAGAAAGUGAGCCCCAGCAAACCCUCUGCAGGUGACAGCGGCGAGCAGCCCCUGUUCUGUGUUGAAUAUUCC
rnacentral:lncRNA from 1 species